rnacentral:rRNA from 1 species
UACGAAGGGGGCUAGCGUUGUUCGGAAUUACUGGGCGUAAAGCGCGCGCAGGCGGUCCUUUAAGUCGGGGGUGAAAGCCCAGAGCUCAACUCUGGAACUGCCUUCGAAACUAGAGGACUUGGGUACGGGAGAGGUGAGUGGAAUUCCGAGUGUAGAGGUGAAAUUCGUAGAUAUUGGGAAGAACACCGAUGGCGAAGGCAGCCAUCUGGACCGACACUGACGCUGAGGCGCGAAAGCGUGGGGAGCAAACAGG